UUUUUUUUUUUGUUCGUCUAGCUAUCUGUCUAUUUAUUUAGAGAUGCGUCAUGUAGCCAAGAUGAGUUUCAAAGUUGCUAGUCGGCUCAGAGUGCUUUGAACUUCUGACCUUCCACCUCUGACCUGUUAGGAUUACAGUCACGCUCUCUCUACCUCUCUGUAGCUUUUUCACUAUGUAUGGUCCCUCGCUUUAAUACCAUUAAGACGGAGGUCCUCCAAUGGCCCAGAGCGUCGCGAUUUUUUAAAAAAAACUUGAUUGGGCCGGAAGAACUUGUUUUCGAGCGCGUUGACGUCAUUUCCAGGUGCUUUAUAUUGAGGAGCAGCCGGGCGUGUGAGGCAGACGCCGGAUGAGGCUGCUAGCUCUGUGUGAGCUUUGAGGCUCCAGUCAGCUGCGUGGUCCUGCGCCAGCGGCUUCCGGAGCGAGGGCUGCCGUGAGUUGGUUUCCUUGAGCGGACCGAGGAAAGCCGGCCGUGGGCGGUGGCAGCUGGUCCACAAAACCUCGCGUGUCUCAGCAGGGCAACGAGGCCUUAGCCCUUAGCGCCUGGCGGCUGGGCAGCGAGGCUUUAGGCCCUAGCGUCCCUCAGCUGGGCAGUGAGGCCUACCGCUUUUGCGCCCCUUGGCUGGGCAGCAAGGAGGCCUUUGGCCUUAGCGUCCCUCGGUUGGCCAGCGAGGCCUUAGUCCUUACGGGCUGGCGGCUGGGCAGCGAGGCCUACCGCAUUUGGGACCCAGGGCAGUGAGGCCUUGAGUCCUUUGCGCCCCUCAGGUCAGCAGUGAGGCCUACCGUGUUUGGGACCCCUUGCCUGGGCGGUGAGGCCUUGAGACCUUAGCGCCCCUUGGCUUGGCAGCAAGGCCUACGGCCCCCUCAGUAGGGCAGCGAGACUUUAGUGCUUUGCGCCCCUCAGCUGGGUAGCGAGGCCUUUGUCCUUAACACCUCUUGGCUUGGCAGUGAGGCUUGGCAGCGAGGCCUACCGCCCUUGUGCCCCUUGGCUGGGCAGGGAGACUUUAGGCCUUGUGCCCCUUGGUAGGGAAGUAAGUCCUAUCACCUUUGUGCUCUUGGGUGGUAUAGGCAAGACUUUCCACUUGUGGUUUCGUGCUUUGUGCUUCUUGGCAGGGCAGCGAGGGCCUCUGCUUUUCUGAGGACCUGUGUGCUUUAAGAUGGCCGCCCCUACAGGGCCUCCCAGCCCUAUGCAGUCACUUCGGGAAGAAGCAGUAUGUGCCAUCUGUCUGGAUUACUUUAAGGACCCCGUGUCCAUUGGCUGUGGGCACAACUUCUGCCGAGGGUGUGUGACCCAGCUGUGGGGCAAGGAAGAUGAACAGGACCGGGAACCGCCUGCUGUAGGGAACCACGUCAUUAGAGAGGUUUUGUUUCAUAGGUACACAGAACAGGAGGUGUUUCAGCACCGAGCACAUGCUGGACGCUGGGCUGCUCAUAGCCAUAGAAGGCAUCGGGGCAAUGCAGACUCUGUGUGGGAUGAUGAGGAAGAAGACUGGAACAGUUUACAAGGACUGGUACAUGACCUGAGAAUUAGGGUUUUUCCAGAAGAAAGAGAUGAACACCCCCACGAUGGCCACCAAUACCAUCACUAUGGCCGAUACCGACACCGUCCAGUUUUCCGCCGUGGUCCCCCACAUCCACCUGUGCGUCGGCAGCUCUAUCCAGAUGCCCGACCACGAUCUCCACCUCGAGUACGAUCUCCACCUCGAGUACAUUCUCCACCUCGAGUACGUUCUCCACCUCGUCCCACAUCACAGGUCUUCAGCUGCCCACAAUGCCGAAGGACAUUUCCAAGUCGCAGUUUUCGACCCAAUUUGCAGCUGGCCAACAUGGUCCAUAUAAUUCGCCAGAUUUGCCAUACGCCAUGAAAUUAGCAAAGCAUGCAAAUAUGAGGAAACCUGGAGCUCUCCAGUGAGGUAGAAAAAAAGCUCAUCUGUAUGGUGUGUAUAGAUUCCUGGCACCACAAAAAUAACAAUGUGGUGCCAUUGGAUGAAAUACUUAAACAAGGGGCAAAAAAAUGAGAAAUCUAUAGUACUUGGCACUCUCAGUGCUACCCCAGAUUUGGGGAGAAAUUAAAAUAUUCCAAAUUUAUCAGUGCCUGCAGCUUUAAAUCAGAAUAGAGUAGUUGAGUAUGUAGCUCAAUAGCAGAAUGCUUGUUUGCCUAGCGUGUUUCAUCUCCCACUUUCCAGUUUAUUUUGAAGUAAUGACGAUCAAGCUUCAGUUUUAGGAAAUAUUAGUCCUUUGUUGCUAUUAGCUGAGAAUUUACUUAUGGGAAUGAGGAAAACUGCUUUGCUUAGCUUCAGAAUUACGCUUUCAGAACUGAAUAUUUUCAUGAACCUGGUAUUUGACUACUUAAAAUAUUUUUGAGGUUGUUAUUAGCUGAUUUGAUAACAUGCUUUAUAGGAAUUUGUCAAUUUUAUAGUAAUGCCAUACAUAGAUUUUUAGCAAAAGUUGAAAAGUUGUCAAGAUAUACUGCGCUAUCUAUGUGGAUUACUUUGGAAAUCUUCAGGUUUUCUGUCUUAAGCUAAGAAAGAGUAUGCUUAGUUCAGGUUUGCUCUUGAAGAUGUGGAGCUCUUUCAAUGUUUUUGUUAGAUCUAAAGUUCCUUGGUCAUUAAAGAGAACUGUAUUCAGCAUUUGGAUAACAAUACUAACAUUAGGGAACCAAUGAAAACUUGAGGCUGAAAAUAUGAAACUUUGAAAAAUUAAAACUUUCAGUCAAAUUUUAACACUGAAAUGCACUGGCCCCGAAAUGAUAAUAGGCAAAUACUAACAUUUUUGUUGUGAAGUAUUUAAAGCAAAACUUGCUAAAACCAGCAUAUAUAGAUAUAUGUUAGAGAUUCUUAUAAAAAGUGCCUAAUUUUGUUGGCCCAGAACCAAAUUUAAGAACCAGAUUCAUGAAUAUUAUAUCUUUAAAUUUAAGUUAGUAUACAAAAUAAUGGAUUUCAUUAUGAGAGUUUCAUACUUGUGUAUCAGUGUACUUUGGUCAUAUUUGCUCCUCUAGUGUACUUUUCUCCUAUCUAGUCUUUAUUCAUAUUGCAUGAUGUUAGAUACAGAAAAUUACUAAGCCUAAAUUCUAAAGGGGAAAUCCGUUUUUUUAUCAUUACCCUUUCUUCAACUCCAUUCUCCUUCCCUUUAGAGCCCCCCUUUUCCUGUGUAGUUCCCCUUCAUCAAUGCCAUUUUAAGAAGAAUAAAACCUAGAAUAUUCAGAAAUACUUAGGUGGUGUGUUUCUGACAAGUUAAAAAUCUAUAUGGUAGCUUUGAGAGGAUAAAUGUGUUUCACCUUGUUCAACUUUUACUUAAUAGGUUCAAGGAAGACUUUGUGGAAUUUAAAUGAGUGAUUGUUUUGACUAGAAACUUAAUGAAACUUGUAACUGUCAAUGCAAAUAUGCAUUGCAUUUAUUUUCCAGUUUUCUUACAUUUUUGUUUCUGUUUUUAUUUUUCCCUUGCUUUAUUUAACUGGAAGGAAACUUAAUUGCUUGUUAAAAGUGACUUAAGUUUUAUUGUAUUUUAUACAGUAUCCAGUAAAGACAAAUUUAAGUUUCACAGUGACAUGCUUAUAUUAUCUGAAUAAAAUUACUUUAAAAUUAAAGAGAUUGAAUGAAAAUUUAAUUUAAAAGAAUAAAUGUUGAAAGGAGACAUUGUAGCAAAUAUUGAUCAAAAAAAGUUGAUCAAAAAAAAAUCUAAUAUCAGAGCUUGCAAAUAGUAUGCCUGUAGAAGAGUAACUGUUACCUAAAUUAGAUUCCUCCAUUCCUGUGGAGGUUUGAAUAUACUUGGCCAUGAGAAGUGGUACUAUUAGGCAAUGUCGUGUUGUUGGAGGAGGUUAGUCACUGUCAGGCUGGGAUUUAAGGUCCUGUGCUUAGACCCAGAGCAGAAGAGGUAAUCCUCUUGUUGCCUGCAGAAGAGAAUCUUCUGGCUGCCUUUGGAUCAAGAUCUAGAACUUUUGUCUCUUCCAGUGCCAUGUCUGUCUAGAUGCUGUCAUGCUUCCUACCUUGAUGAUAAUGAACUAAACCUCUGAAACUAAGCCAGCCCAAUUAAAUUUGUCCUUUGUAAGAGUUGCCUUGAUCACAGCAGGGAAACCUUAACUAAGACAAUUCCUGAAAACCACAAUUCUGAAACUUAUUUCAGUGUAAGAAAGAAGAUAGUUCACAUCACUGUUUUUAUAGGAACUUCUGAAUUCUGAGGGCUAAGGUUAAAGGGAUAUAUGCAUUAUUAGCUAGGAACCAAGCCUUCAAUACACAAAUCUAUAAACAACACUUGUACUCCACAGUGCAUAGCAAAUAAAAGCAAAGCAAAAAAUGCUCAGAGAAUGGGAAAGUUGGUGAGCUGUUCUAAAAUUAAGCUAAUGAAAAUGUGGCAUAUCCAUGCUUUUCCUUGUUGGAAAACAUUAAGCACUUGAUAUAUAAUUUCAUAUAAAAGGAAAUAAAGUCUUGCAGUUAUAUCCAAUUCUGAGUCUUUGAAGCUACAAAUAAAACAUAAGAAAUUCUACACAAAUACUACACAGAUCCAAUUAUAAGGAUGUUAUCCUGAUCCUGUGCUAGGCAAAAUGAGUCUGUUGUCAAGAUAAAGCUAAUGCACCUUAGCAAUUUGUUAAAAUUGGUCCUUUGUCUUAGGGUUUCUGCUGCAGGAACAAACCACCAUGACCAAAAAAAGCAAAUUGGGGAGGAAAGGGUUUGUUCAACUUUUACACUGUUCAUCACCAAAGGAAGUCAGGACAGGAAUUCAACAGUACAGGAUCCUGGAGGCAGGAGCUGAUGCAGGAGCCAUGGAGGAGUUCUGCUUACUGGUUUGUUUCCCAUGGCUUACUUGAAUGUGCGCUCUCGCGCUCUCUCUCACACUCACUCACACACACGUUUUAAAAACUUCUUAUUUGUUAAUUUCACAUCAUACACUCGAAUUCCACUCAUCUCCAGUCCCUUCAUACCAGCCUCUGUCCUUGCAAUAUCCCCUCUUAAAGAAAAAAAUGUGGAAGUUGUAGUGUGUGACAGUGUGUCCCACAGUUAUUUCCUUGUGUUCACACUUUACUUGCAAAUGUUCAUUGCUAUGAGUCAUUGGUCUGAUUUGAGGCCUCUGUCUUCUGCUACUCUAUAAAUACUGGGUCCUCAAUAGGACUCCUCACAGAUACCCUGUUGUUGUCCUGUGUCAUGGAGAUCCUUCAGCUUUGGAUCUGCAGGACCAGCCCUUCACAUCCUCCAGUUCACUGAUUGGGUAGAAACCUUGGAUCUGGGCUGGUUGAACUGGUGAGCCUGUUAACUCUCCUGUACCUACACCAUCAGGGAAAACCCUCUAGUCCUGUCCCGGGUAGCUCACCCAAUGCUGCAGCUGAGCUGGCAAGGGGUGGACCCAUUUCUCCUCUAAUGCUUUGGGCCAUCUCACCCAUUUCCAUGCCGGCAGGACCAGCUCUAAUGUUCUGCCCAGGUGAAUGAAGUACAGGGCCUGCUCUCCUUGAGUGCUGCAGCACAGCCUGCUUUCUUAUAGAACCCAGUAAUAGCGCUACCCACAAUGGGCUGUGCCUUCUUCCACUGAUCACUAAUUGAGAAAAUGCGUUAUAGCUGGAUCUCAUGAAGGCAUUUCCUAAACUGAGGCUUUUUCCUCUAUAAGAGCUCUAGUUUGUGUCAGAGUGAAACAAAACCAGCUAGUGCAACUGAAUCCUUGUGAACUUGAUACACAAGCACAUCACAACCCUUCCUGUCUUAUAUCCAAAUAUCUUAAGUCCCAUAGUCUUCACAAAUUCAAACAUUACAAUUUCAGUCCCUUUAAAUAGCCAAUUUCUUCAAAAUCCAGUCUUUUAAAAUCCGAACUCUCUCAAUUGUGGGCUCAAAUAAAAUAAAAUAAACUUUCUUACUCCAAGAGGGAAAAAUUAGGACACAGUUGCAAAGCAAAAUCAAAUUCCAACCAUCCUAGUGUCUGGGAUCCACUCACCAUCUUCUGUACUCCUCCAAAAGUGUUGGGUCUCUUCUCCAGCUUCAUUCCACUGUUGCUGCUGUUCUUGGUUGGCAUGUCAUGGGGCCAAACCUUGGCAAUUCUCUCCAAUUGGUUCAUACCUUCAAAACUAUUAACACUUGGAUGACUUAUAUAGUACUGAGUCUGGCUGACAGCAGAAGAUACAACCUUGGUCACCUGCUGACUUUCAUGAAACACUUCCUGAAAGAUUUGAUUCAGUGUUGCUGGUCUCCUCUCAAUCAUCACUAAUUUCUUAGCUACAGCUAACCAAUGUCAAUUGUUCAGUAAUGCAAAAGUUUCACUUCAGUGAUGCUGGUCUCUUGUUAAGCUCAGCUGACUCUAGCUCCAGCUGACUAGAAUGGCAGAAUCUUAAUUCAAAAUAGCAAACAGCCCUGAUAGAAACUCUAAACUUCCUCUGAAACUUCAGUUAGGCCUCCAUCUUUUACACUGCUCUCAACAUUGUUACUGUCCAGGUUUCUGAAUAACAUCCCACUGAGCUCUUAACAUUUAAUGGCUCAGAUAGGCCAAAGUUCUGAAGCUCCUCCACAUGUCUCCACAAAACAUGGCCAAGUCUGUCACUACAACACCCAACUAUGCUGGUACCAACUUGUCUUUGGGUUUCUAUUGCUGGGACAAAACACUAUGACCAAAAAGCAAGUAGGGUAGGAAACAGUUUAUUCAGCCUACACUUCCACAAUACUGUUUGUUCAUCACCAAAGGAAGUCAAGAUAGCAACAGGGCAGGAACUUGGAGGUAAGAGCUGAUUCAGAGGCCAUGGAGGAGUGCUGCUUAUUGGCUUGCUUUCCCUGGCUUGCUCAACCUGCUUCCCUAUAGAACCCAUGCUGGACUGGGCCUUGCCCCACUGACCACUAAUUGAGAAAAUGCCCUGCAGCUGGAUGGAUCUCAUGGAGGCAUUUCUUCAACUGAAGCUUUUUUUUCUCUGAUGGCUCAAAUUUGUGUCAAGUUGACACAAAAACAGCCAGUACAGUUCUAUUGUCCAAAACUGUUCUGCUUAACAUAGCAUGCUGAGAGAAAAGGGAGUAGGAACUGGAUUAGCCUUAAGAAAUAAUAUAGCUAUCAAACUGCAGUGAUUAGUUGUGUUCAGAGAUAAGGAAGAAAAACUGAAUCAAAAAUUUGUUGGUAGUUUGACUAAAUUAUGGACUUUUCUCUGUUCCUCUAACAGGGAAAAGAGACCAAGCAGAGGGAAUGUAGGAAAUUUCUCCAGUGUAUUAGAUAUUUAAGCAAUGUAGAACAAAAAUAAUUUUAAGUACAUAGUGAGACUUUUUAAAAAUGACUUAUUACUCUAAAUUUAAUGAUCAUUCUUUUAAAAGCAAAUAGUGGAAGUGUAUUACUAAUACCAGUUGAUCAUCAUAUAGUUUAUACAUCUUAUUUCCUUGUUCCUGGAAUGAGCAUUAUUAAAGCUUACUGUGUCUGGAAUGGUGCCUUUGGCAUAAGCAUUAAGAAAUAUAUAGACAGGAAAGUUUUGUGCAGAUGGAAAUUCUGCUUUCCUCAUUUUAGUACCAUUACUGCUAUUUUUCUCCAUUUCUUGACCACAAACAGGAAAAAACAAGAAUAUUUUUAGAUUUAAGCUUUGUUUAUAGUAAUUAGAUUAAUUUUGUUAUCACAGGAUGGCCAGAUGUGCAUGAAAACCACUUUGUGUUUCCCAACACAGAUCAUAUUAACCUCCAUUUUUUUUCCCUUUUGGACCAAGCAAGUGGUGACCAGACGAUCUAGUCUGGAAAAGCUUAAUUGCCAACUCUGAAUUUAGUGGGGGUGGAGAAAUUCCUUAGAGGGAAAUGGGAAUUUAGUUUCAAGAUAGUAGUUUCCAUGUGCAAAUGAGCUUUGAAUUCUCCUAAGGAGAAAAAUGAAUAUUAGAAAAAAAGCUGCAAAAAAACCCAAAAGAUUUAGGAUAAGUUUAUUUUUAAGGAAACUAUUUAAAAUAAGUUACGAUAUAACUCACAUAGUUUUGUAGGACUAAAAAUAAUGAACUUUUUUGCAGACCUUAAAGUUUCUCAUCAACACUUGAAAGGAGUUAAAUGAGCUGACAGAUUUAAUUACUCAAAGUAGUCUGUAUCAUUUUUUAUUUCACUUUGACAUAAGACUUGGCACAAAUCUAUUAUAAGCUGUGCUCAUUUAUUGCUGCACUUCUAAGUUAUAAAUCUGGUUUAUAUCUAUGGAAAAUGUAGUAUAGUAUUGAAGACAUGUCCAGUUAUCUGGGCAAUUUGUUUUAUGAGUUUAUACCAAAUUAAGUAGAAAGCAUUUGGAGAAUUUGUUUUUCCUCUGUGGGUUGCAAGUCAGUUAGAAAAAGACCUUUUUGAGCAAGGGAGUUCAGAGUUCUGGCUCUUUAGUCUAUUUCCUGAAUAGAUCUGAUUAAAACAUGAUCUAAAAGUCUGAUUGAUGGUGUCCAUUUCCCUUUUCAAUGUAACAGAUACAUUCAGAAUGUUGACAUCUAUGAAAGGUAGAAACAUUGAUGCUGUAUUGCAUUCCCCUAGUAUUUCUUACUAGUGGAGGAAAUGAUUUAGUCAAGAGACAGGCAAAGCUAGUUUUCUCAGGUAAUAAUUUCUGAAAUUUAUAAUAUUUUAUAUAGUAUACUUUUAGACUUUUAGAAUGGCUUAGCCAAAUUAGAUACAAUAUGUUCAAAUAAACAGUUUGGUUGCUGAUAAUGAGGGUAAUGUGGAGAGAAAGCUUUGUCAUAACUGGGUAUAAAGGAGGGGGAAGUGUUAACUGUUUCCUUCUUUAGUUCUCUGUUUUGGGAAGGGAGAUUUCUUAGAAAGAUGGACAAGAGGGAGAGAAAAGGAGACAGAUCAAGAGAUUUCUAAGGAAAAAGUUAUGAAUGGAUUGUGUAUGGCUGGACUUUUCCUCCCUCUUUGGGAUUGGGGAUGGAUUGACGUUUUUUCCUCUUAAAGGUAUAGCAAAUUUUUGUUUUAGUACUACAGGUGUUUUCUUUACCUUUUAAUGCUGUACUUAGUUUUUUGAGCAGGGUCUCAUUUAAGCUAAGCUGGAUUCAGAUUGGCUAUAUAGUUAAGGAUGAUCUUGAUCUUCAUAUUCUUCUGCCUCUGCCUCAUAAUUGCCGGAAUUAUAGGCACACCACACAGCUGGCCUAAAUUAUAUACUGUUAAAAUGUUACACUUACUUCAAGUUAGCUCUGAUUUAUUUUAUCAGCUCUUUCAUUUUGGAGGGUAGGGUUUAUACCUUUUUUGUUGGUUUGCUUUGUUUUGUUCUGUUUUAUUUCCUUGGUGAUACUGAGUCAUGACUGUGUAUCAAAACCUUUUUGGUUUGGUUUUGAGAUUAUGUAGUUAUAUAAUUUCUACAUUUCCUUUCCUCCUUUAAAUCUCUCCCCAUGCCCCGUCUUUGUUCUUUAAAUUCAUGGUCUUUUUUUCGUUAAUUGUUGUUACAUGUGUGUAUGUAUGUGUACUCCUAAAUAUAACCUGGUCAAUUUGUAUAAUAUUACUUGUAUCUGUUUUCUGAGCUGACCACAUGGAAUUGAUAACCAGUGGAGCGCUUUUCUCUGGGGAAGACUUAGUUCUUCCACUCUCUACAUUCCUUUCUUUAACAUUUUAUUUUUCUUGGAUACUUUAUGUAUUUACAUUUUAAAUGUUAUCCCAUUUCCCCCUUAUUUGCCUGUAGUUUCUUGUUUAGAGUUGAGGCCCCAUGAUCUUACAGUGCCUUUCAACUUGGGCGUGUUUGUUGGUGUUCUUGAUCAGCUGAUGUUAGACACUUUUGUGAUGAGAAUUUACAGGUGCAGCUUCUGAUGCUACUGAGAGACUCACAGUAACCUUCCUGAUUCUCUAGCUCUUAAAUUUUUCUGUCCCCCUUUCUACACUGUUCCCUGAGACUUACGUGCAGGAGCUGUUUUAUGUAUGUAGCCAUUGGGACUGGGUUAUACAAGUCUGCAUUUUGAUUUGUUGUUUGUAGAGGAAUUUUAAACCAGCAGUGGAUCACAUCCAAAGGACUUCUAGGUAUAUAUGAUCCAGUUGGAAUGCAGAUAUACUUUGGAUUACAAUAUGAUCUGGUUGAAUUCGACACACCCUUAAUGUACCCUUAGUUCAGGAUCAUGCUAGUUCUACAAAGUGGUUAUAGGUUCUUCUCCAAGAUCCAUGACUUCACUGUCCUUGGGAACUUUGCUAGGUUUCUGGUUUGCAGGCCUGGUUUCCCUCUGGUUGACUCGUCUGAAGUCUAGUUAGAGGUGCUCAGGACUGUUGGUUCCUUCCUCCUGUGGCAGCUUACAUGGUGCUUCGUGGUACAUACUUUCUUAGGUGAGUAAACAACAGUGUGAUUCCUUAUGACUUUUUCAGAUGUUUUCACUAUUCUUUCCACUUUUCUGGUUUCAGUUAUUCCAGGAUAUGUUCAUGGUUAUUUUUGGGCGAGUUAUGAGUUCUUUGUAUAUUUUGAAUAUUAAUCUUUUAUCAGAUGUUUACCUUGCAGAGCUUCUUUCUCAUUCUCUGGGGAUUCUCUUGGUUAACUGCUUUUUUAGCUGUGCAGAAGCUUUUUAGUUUUAUGAAGUCCUACUUGUUAGUUGUUGGCCUUAAUACUUAGGCAAAUGAAGUCCUAUCCAGAAAAUUCUUUCCUGCACACAUAUAGGGUUUUACCUAUAUUUUUUUCUAGCAGUUUCCAUGUUUUAGGUUUUAUAUUUAAGUCUUUUGAUCUAUUUGGAGUAGUUUUUUUUUUCUUUUUUUUCUUUUUUCUUUUUUCUUUUUUUUCGGAGCUGGGGACCGAACCCAGGGUCUUGGGCUUGCUAGGCAAGCGCUCUACCACUGAGCUAAAUCCCCAGCCCCUAUUUGGAGUAGUUUUAUGCCAGGUGAAGCUGUAGUUAUUUUUCUAUUGCUUUGAGGAGACAUCAUGACAAGACCAACUUAGAAAUCAUUUAGUUGGGGGCUUGCUUAAAAGUUUCAGAGGGCUAGUCUAUAGCCAUAAUGGCAGGGAGUAUGGUAGCAGCCAGUCAGGCAGUAGGCAUGGCGCUGGAGAAGUAGCUGAGCUUAAAGCUCAUCUAAGGGAAACACCUCUUCCUACAAGGCCAGCGGUCCUGAUCCUUCUCAAACAAUUUUAUCUGUGUCAGAAGCAUUCAAAUGUGAAUCUAUGUGGGUUUGCAGCUUUAUCAUAAUGCAAGAUGCACUUAGUCCAACUUUAAAAGUACCCACAGUCUUUCAACGUCUGAAUACACAUUAAAAACCAAAGUCUUUGGAGAAUCAAUACAAUCUCUGAACUGUAAUACUCUGUAAAAUCAAAAAGUAAAUUAAUUCUUCCAGUGUACAGUGACAUAGACUAUAAAUUACUUUUCCAACAAGGGAGGAAAGCAAGCAUAAUAAUGAAAUGCUGGACCAAAGCAAGACUGAACAUAGCAAACCGCACUCUAAGUCUUGAAACUCUAUAUCUGAUGUCAAAGGGUGUAACUCUUCUAGCUUUGCAGACUGCAACAUCUCUCUUUGAAGAAGAUUCUUUGAACAACAUUCAAUUGUUUUUCUAGUCCAAAGCCCCAAAGUCUUCCACAGCUUUGUAUACCUGUCACAGUACUCCAUUCCUGGCACCAAUCUCUUAGUUGCUUUUCUGUUGCUGUAAAGACAACAUUUAAAAGAAAAGCAAUUAAUUGGGGGUGUGGCUUACAGAGGGUACAGUAGACAUGCAUGCAAGUAGGAGUGACACUAAAAAAGUACCUGAGAUUACAUCUGCUCCAUAAGCACAAGGGAGAGAGAGAGAGCGAAUUGGGUAUAGCACAGACUUUUGAAAUCUCAAAAGUGACACUAAUAAGGUCAUACUUCCUAAUACUUCCCCAGAAGUUCCACAAACUAUGGCAGAAGCACAAACAUAUGAACUUAUGGGGACCAUUCUUAUUUAAAAUCUCAAAGUGAGAGAUAAUGUGUCUAAUUUUGUACUUCUACAUGUGAAUGUACAGUUUUCCCAGAACCAUUUUUUGAUGCUUUCUUUUCUCUAGCUUACAAUUUUGGCAUCUUUGCUCAAGUAUUAGGUGGCAGAAAUUACAUGUACUUACAUUUGGUUCUAUAAUUUUGUUCCAUUGGGCUAUAUGUUUGUACUGGUACCAUAUUGUUUUUUAUUACUAUUGCUCUGUAACGUAUUUUAGGAUCUACUGCAACAAGGCCACCCCUCUUAAUAGUGCUACUCCCUAUGGGCCAAGAAUUUAGAUAUAGGAGUCUCAGGGUGGAGGCAUAUCAUUUCAAACCACCCGUUCUACUCCAUGGUGCCCAUAAACUUGUAACCAUAAAGUAAUGCAAAAACGCAUUUGGUCCAACCUCAGAAGUCCUUAUAGUCUAUAACAGACUCAACACUAUUUAAAAAUCUAAUGUUCAAAGUCUCUUCUGAGAUCCAGGCAAUCUGUUAACUGUAAUCUGUUAUAAAAUUAAAAUUAAAGAUCACAUACUUCCAACAUAUAAUGGCACAGGAUAUACAUUAUCAUUCAAGCAAAAUGUAGGGAAGGGAGCAUAAUAAUGAAAUACUGGACCAAAGCAAGACUGAAAAACAGCUGGACAGACUUCAAGCUCUGCAUCUCCAUGUCCGCUGUCAGAAGUCUCUCCGGCUCUCCAUCCCUUUUCAGCUUUGUGGACUGCAACACACUUUUCUCUCUUAGGCUGGCUCCACUCCCUAUUGGCAGCUCUCCUUGACAGGUACCUGUGGCCGUGGCAUAUCGGGGUUUCCAAGGCACUGCAGGUUCUAUCUUCAUAGCUUCCCACAGUGGCCCCUCGGGGCUUCCGUGAAGGAACAACACCCUUGCCACGUGCCUGGUCUCAGACUUUUCUUAGUUGUGGAGGACAGUUCCAUAACCCUUGACUCUUUUGUAUGUCUGAUAAGAUCAAACUACAUCCCGUGUGCCUCUAGAUUAAGGUGUAGAACUCUCAGUUCCUUCUAGCACCGUGUCUGCCUGCGUGCUGCCAUGAUUCUUAACUCUUGCUUCACAGAGUACUCUUGGCUCUAAAGUCAGUACUACAUGGCCAAAGCUGCCAUGUUCUGCUGCUUGCUAGGACUGGAACAUGGCCUCCUUGCUGAAUCAAGGCUUUACUUCAUCACCUAAGCUUGGCUGUCCUGGAAUUUGCUUUGCAGAUCAGUUUGACCUUGAAUUUAGAUCUCUCCUGAGUGCUGGGAUUAAGGUUGUCUACCAUUUCGGAACCUAAACUGUUUUUUAAUAUCUUUUCAAAAACUGGAAGCUUAGCUUGGUGGGAUUCCGCCUUGAGGUUUACAUUUUGAAAGGUUUAGUCCAUUGACUGAUGGUAAAGGAGCUGAGGGUUCUACAUUUUGAUUUAGAGGUAGCAGAAAGAGACUGGGCCACACUGGAUGUAGCUUGAUGAUAUCAGACAUUAAAGCCUGCCUCUACAGUGACAUACUUCCUCUAAAAAGGACACAUGGCAACAAGGUCAGUAAUAGUGCUAUUCCCUAUGGGCCUACCAUUCAAAACCCAUGAAUCUAUGGGGGUUAUUCCUAUAUUAACUAGUCAAACCACCAUAGCAACCCAGGGAUUUUGUUUGUUUGUUUUUACUUUUUUGGUUUCAUGUGAAUGUUAGUAUUGUCUUUUCUAUUUCUGUGAGGAAUGAGAUGGGGAUUUUCAUUUAGAUUGUAUUGAAUUCAAUCUGUCAUGAUUCUUACCAUGACAAUAAUGAACUAACCCUCUCAAAAUGUAAGCUAGCCCCAGCUAAAUGUUUCCUUUAUAAGAGUUGUAUUAUGGGUCAUGGUAUUUUUCACAACAAUAGAAACCCUAAGACAGAAGUUGGUACCAGGGAUGGAUAAUCCAGCAAUAGGUCUAACCUUGUUUUUCUUUAGAAGAAUGUGGACUUUGGGACUCUGAACUAGGAAAGUAGUUGGACAAUUUAAGCUCAGCUUAAUGGGCCAUAUUGCAUUGAAUAUAUAUUCUGCAAAUAGCUUUUGUUAAUUUUCAUAGUUACUUCUAUCACUUCAUGAACAUGGGAUAGCUUUCUAUUUUCUAGCACCAUAAAUAUAUAAUCAACAAAUUGUAUUUGUUGAUUCUUUGUACCUUCUCCCCUUGUUUCCACUUUAUUUGUUUCUGCUCUUAAUUGUAAUAUUUUUGAAUGUCAAGUGGAUUUGGAGGCUUUGUUUUAUUUUUCCAAAUUUUUGAGUUGCAUCAUUAAGUUAUUUGUGUACCUAAUUUUUUAUUUUUUCUAAAUGUAGGGACUACUUUGAAUACUGCUCUGAGUGUAUCCCUGAUGUUCUGUUGUGCUUUUGUUUUCAUUUAGCUUCAGAAUUUUUUUAUCUGUCUUGAUUUAUUCUUUCAUUCAUGAAUCAUUCAGUGAUUAGUUCUAUGAGUUUGUGUUUCAAUCUCUGUGAGUUUCAAUUAGAGACUUAUUUGCUGUCAAUUUUAAGUUUUCCUGCCUUGUGGUGAGAUAGGGUUCAAUGAGUCCUUUCAACCUUUUUGAAUUUGUAUAGAUGUGUUUUGUAUUCCAGGCUUUCUUGUGCCGCUGUGCAGAAUAUGCAUUCUUUUCUGUUUCAGUGGAACGUUCGUUCUGUAGAUAUUGAUACAUGAUACCAAUUAAUUCUGAUGAAUCUCUUUUUUUUUUGUCCAGAUAACUUGUCUGUUGGAGAAAGUGGGGUAUUGGAAUCACCAAUUAUUAAUGGAUUGUGUUAAUCUGUUUCAUUAGUUCUAGAAGUAAAUUUUUUAAUAUAAAAUUGGGUGUUCCAGAAUUUGAUAUAUACAUGCUUAGCACAGUAAUGUCUUGGUUAACUGCUCCCUUGAAGUUUGUUACAUAUUAGGAUGAAGGCUUAUGCUUGCUUUCUGGUCCCAUUUGAUUGAGGUACUUUUAUUUUUGAGCAUUCUAUUAUGCUAAGGCAGUUUCCAUCUUUAAAGCUAAGACCUGUUUCUUCCAGAGAACAGAAGUAUUUCAUUUCUUGAUUUAUUCAGUCAGUAUGUUAAUUGUGACUUCAUGUUGACUUUUUUUGUUUGUAGAGAUAAUUUGUGUUUUAAUAAUUAUGGUUUGAUAUUUCUAUCCAUAUAGUCUUUCUGCUGUGACCAUUCCUCUCUUGAGUAUGAAAGAUUGUCUUCUGUAUUUUUUUUAGAUUUUGAUUGUUAGAUAUUACAUUUUUAAGGCUUUUUAUACUGUGCAAUGUUUUUCUUUUUUUCAAUUAUGGCAGUUUUUAUAGGUAUAUUAGACUAGGCUGGCUGUCAUAGUCUUUUAGGAUCUGGAAAGCCUUGUUCCAGGAUUAUAAGGGUUCUAAGUUUCCAUUGAGAAAUCAUCUGUUAUUCUGAUGGGUUUUUCUUUAUAUGUGACUUGUAGUCUUUUUCUUGUAGUUUCAGUACUCAGACUUUCUUACAUAUAUUUAGUGUUUUAACUAUGAUAUGCUAUGGAAGUUUUCUUUCUGGUCUUGUCUAGUUGGUGUUCUGCCAGCUUCAUAUGAGGAUGUGUUUUCUUCAUUUGGUGAAGUUUUCUUCUAUGAUCUUGUUGAAAUGUGGUCUACGCCAUUGACUUCAUAUUGUUCUCCGUCAUCUAUGCCUAAAAUCUGAAGGUUAUAUCUUUUUAUGAUGCCCAACAUUCGUCUGUUGGUUCCCUAUGUGGUUAAAUUUUUUCAUAUUCGUUAUUUAGUUGGUCUAGCUGUUGAGUCCUUAUAUCUUUCACUUGAGGAGUCUCAGCUAGAGAUUCAUCUUUUAGAUGCUCUGGGGCUUCUGAAUGCAUGUUUGUUUAUUGACUUUUUUUCUUAUUCUGGGUACUUCCUCUUGUGCAUGGGGUGGACAGUUGCUUGUGAUUGUGGGGACAAGCUCCAAAACUUAUCUUCAGGUUUCGCCGCAGAUAUCUGGAAAGGCCAGCUUGCCUGACAGGUCUUUCAUGCUUAGAAGUUAUAAUUGUUUACAGGCUGGAAGGACCACAGUGGACUCUUGAGGUCUUAGUGUUGUUUAUGCCUUGCAUUGUCUAUGAUCCAUGUCUAUGGUCCAGCCUGUAUUUCCCAUCAUUCUCUUAUCUUGCAGGGAGUCAUAUACUUUCUGAUUUGUGAACAGAUUCUCAUUUAUAUAUAUUAUUAUAUGUUCAUUCCAGUAAAGUACAUUUUUUUUGUCAUUUGUAGAGAUUCACAUUGCUUAUGCUGACAGAUUGAGUUAAAUCCACAUCCCUUUUGGGCUUUAGGUAGUAUGGCUUGCUUGGGAUUUUCACUAAGUCUCCUCAUCUUGAAAAUUCACCAAUUUUCUCUUUAUUGUUGAUAUUUACGUCAUGAAUAUCUGAAGAGGUAUUAGAAGGGAACCAAAAUACAGUGAAAUUAUCACUAUAACGAAAAACAUUAAAAAUUAUUUCAGCUCCUUUAGUGUACAAAGUAUUAAGUCUCAUAUUAUAUUUUCAUAUUGGUCCUUAUAUUUUUCUCCUUAUUGCCCUCUCCAGUCCCCUGCGCCCUCUGACAUGUUCUUUUCUUUUCUCCAUGUAUUACCUGUCUUUUUCUAUGGCAUUGGGAAUUGAACUCAUGACCUUCUGUAUAUUUUAUAAGCAUCAUACCAUUGAGCUAUGUUUCUUACCCCUAUUUUAUAACCUUUAACCAUCCUAUUUAGAAAUCUCAAGGACACAUGUUGAAAUAAUCAAUCACUCAAUGUUUUCCCCAUUUAUAUAUGAUUAUUAGGACUUACAGAUAACUGCUUUGUCCUUUAAAGGAGUCAUAAUAGAUGAGAAGAAACAGUCAUUGAAAAAAUUUGUGAACUUAAUGCUUCAGAUAAUUAGUUAAUUAUAAACACACAGAUUUAUGGUCACGGUCAUAGAUGGGAAAUGUGAGUUGCACAAAUAGAUUUAGAAAAUGGUCUUUUUAUUAGAAGAAUAUAAUUAUUUGAUAAAACUAAUUUAUCUUUAUCAGUGAGGAUUUUUUUUCCUUUGAACUCAUGAGAACCAAACUCUGCAAGUUGUCCUUGGCCUUCACAUGCAUUCUCUCUGUCACACACACACCACACAUACACAUACACACACACACACACACACACACACACACACACACACACACACACACACCACAGCACAGGGAAAUAGAAUAAAUUAUAAUAAAUUGUAAUAACAAUUUUAAAUAAUUAUUGGUGAAAACAGGUCUUACUCAUAAAGGUAAACUUAAGUAUAAGGAUGUACAAAUACCAUUUAUAUUAAAGAAUGACCUCUUAGAAAACAUUUGGGCCAAAACUUAAUACAAAGAAAUUGAUAUAAUUUUUAGUUUUAUUACUAUAUUCACAUCCUAUUCUAUUGUUAAUAACAUAGUUCUGUUAAAUAUCCUGGUAUUUAUUCAUGCUAAGGUCUGUCAACAUUUAUGUUCAGGUUACUUAAUACAGAUUUAUAAGAGAUGAAUUUGUAGGCGCCACAUUGCUUUGUCAAAAUAAAUUCCAUAAUUGUAAAAAUGCAUGAUAAAGCAAUUACUUUCUGAAAACGUGCUUUCUUUGCUAAGUCGCUCCUGUAUUUUUACCUAGACAUUGUCCCUUAUUCCUGUCAUUGUUUUAGAAAUAUUAUUUUACUACACAAUAGUUGACUACUUUCAGACUGUGCGGAUUUUAACACUCUAUUUCCUUUAUAUUGGUUCUGUUAAUCUAGUUAUUGUCAAAAGACCUGAUAAUGUUAAUGCAUUUCUUCUCGUAGUGUCCUGGUAAUGUGUACAUUUAUUCUGUGUGUCUAAAAUGUAUGUAAUGAAUUCAGCAGUUGUGAGUGAAUGAAGGGUAGUUUAUGAGCCAGUAACAAAAAGGAGGGCUCUUCAAAGAAAAAGAUAUUAGAUUGAAUAAAAGAGUGAAAGAGAGAAGAAAAGAAGGGGGUGGGGAAGAGAGGAAGGGAUCCAGAAGGAGGAGGAAGAGGAGAAGAAGACAUCACUCGGAUAGCACGUCAGUUACUGGAAUUUAUGGUCAUUGGAUUUAAAAAUAGCUUGGUGGUUCUCCAGGAUACCUCAGUGUCCUGAGAAUGUGAUAAUCUGGAUUUGUUUACUGUUUGUCAUUGCCAUUGUCAUUGUUAUUUCUCAUGAAUGCGUAUAUUUAUAUCUAUGAUAAUGGCAAACUUGGAAAACAUGGUAUACGUUCAAACAUAAAAUUCAUCAUCAAAUUAUAAUUAUUUUUAAGAUUACUAAUAGAAAAGAAACUUUUAUUGGCUUUGUCAAAAACAAAAUCAAAAUGUAAGUUUUCUCAGCUACGGCUUGAGCACCAUGCCUGCCUGCCUGUCUGUCUGCUGCCGUUCUUCCCGCCAUGAUUGUCAUCGGUUCAUCCCCUCAGACUGUAAGCAAGCCCCCAGUUAAAUGCUCUGAAAUUUGAAGUAUAUUGAAAUGCUGUGAGAACUUUCAGAUGUUGGCAUUUGGGUUUUCUUCAGUGGGUUGGACUUACAACUGUAAAAUAUGUCAUGAGGCAUGCUUGCAGAGUUUGCCUCCGAGAAACCUAAAUAUUCCUACUGUUUUUAAAUAUGUUGAUGGAAUUACUUAGUUGUCAAAAUGAGCUUUACACUCGUUCCUACAAAGGCUUCACUACUUUGGAAGUUAGUUAUUAGAAACUAACCUUCCACUGCAGCCUUCUUCUAAGAGUGUUUGUAUGAACCUCUCUUAUAAUAAAAUGCAGUGUUCUCAGUUCUGUGUUGACAUGGAAACAACCUGCUUAAGAGAAAAGUAAUUAAAAGGCGUUAGCAUAAUACUGAAUAUCACUUGAAAAAUAUGUAGCUUUCUAUAAGGAUUUAAGAACAAUGUGCCAAUAACUUUUAGGAUUCCAGUAAUCUUUUCCUGACUUAGCCACCAUUUGGAAUAGUGGGAAAUAAAACUUACAAGGUCUAGAACAUUUUCCUUUUGGUAUUGGAAAUUGAGCUCAGGGUCUUGAACAUUACUAGGCAAGCAUACUGUCACUGAAAUAUGUCUUGAGCCCUUCAUUUUUUUUUCAUUUUGAGGUAGUAUCUUGCCAGCUUUCUUAAACUGGUUUUGAAGUAGCACUGUAAGUCAGAUAGGCCUUGAACUAAUAAUUCUACCGCUUCAUCCUCUCUAGUAGCUAGAAAUACAGGUCUACUCAGCAAUUCUUACUUACAGUUAAUAUUUUAAACUACUUUUAAUUACAAUGGCUGUGCAGUCUAUUUUGUGAGAAUAACCAAACAAAGGUUGAAUAUUGUCAUUAACACAGGUAUCUUAGUUACUACUUCUAUGACAAAGCAUCCUCACCAAAGCAACUUAUAAAAGAAAGCACUUAGUUGGUGCAUACUUAACAGUUUGAGGGGGUGAACCGAUGACCAUCAUGGCGGGAAGCACAGCAGCAGGCAGACAGGCAGGCAGACAGGCAGGCAGGCAGACAGACAGGCAGGCAGGCAGGGAGGCAGGCAUGGUGCUCGAGCCGUAGCUGAGAAACUUACGUGUGUGUGUGUGUGUGUGUGUGUGUGUGCCUGUGUCUGUGUUGUGGGGAGAAGGUGGGGGUGAAGAAGGAGGAGAGAGGUCCUGUACUGGAAAACUGGAAAGAGCUGCUAUGCUUGCAGAGAAGUAGAACUGGAUACUUGUUUGUAGUAUUCAAGUCCCACACAAUUUCUAAUUUUCCUUCAUCUGUUGCUAGCUCUAUAGUCGCUUGCUCUGGAGUUCUGGCUUUUGUUCAAAUUUGUUCUGUCCUGUCUUGUUUCUACCAACCUAUGUCUAUGGCAUAUUCCAUUAUCCUCAAUUUCUGACACUGGCUUAUACCCAACUUUAAUAUUGCUCCUUCUUGUCUUCAGGGUUGAAAUCUCAAAGCAACUGCAGUUCACAUGUCAUUUAUUUCUUAGUUUUCUUAGGGAAAUAUUAAAAUCAGUUUUCAAAAUUACACACACACACACACACAGGAGGGGGGAGGGGGAGGGGGAGGGGGAGAGGGAGAGACACACACACACACACACACAGACAGAGACAUACACAUAUGCUUCACAUAAGUAAAUUUACAUCCCUUUCAGGAAUCUGAUAUAUUUGAGGAUUUUCAAUAGGUUGAGAUUGGGUGGAUCAUCCUGAGGAAAUAGUUAGCAAAGAUGGAUAGAAAGCUUGGGAUGGUUUGAGAGAUGAUAUAACCAUUUAUAUGUAAGGCAAUAUUUUUCUGCAUAUAUCUUUCUCCCAAUAAUGAGACUUCACAUUUAAAAAAGGCGAUUUUUAAAAAAAAUGUAUACGUAUUUCUGUGUGUAUAUGAACUUUUGGGCACUUGCAGAGCCCAGGAGAAGUUGAAUUCCGUGUAGCCAGAAUUACAGGAACCUGAUGGUGGGGCCUGAUCUCCAGUUCUCUGGUAGAGUAGCAAACACUUUUAACUGCUGAGCAAUUUCUACAGCCAAAAGAUUUUGUUUUUUAAAAAUAACUCACUUAAAUAUUAGACAAUUGAUUGCAAAAGUCAUUUCAAUAAAAACAUGAACAUUUGAAGUGAGGCUUCUGAGGAAUGAAGGAGAACUUUAUUCACUUGACCUCCCUUUGGAAUAUGAAGGGAAGGACGCAACUGAGACUCUUCUGCAGAUUUCUGGUUUAGUGUUUCUGAGUGGUCGGGAAUAUGACUUACAGAGCAGGGUAGUUAGAAGAGCUAAUAGGUUCUGAAGGCACAGAUGAUGGUGAUUUCCUGUCACUUCUAAUCCAAAAGGAGCUAUCUAAUCGAGAAUUAAAUGCUUCACUUGGAACUCAGAUGGAGACUGGGGAUCCACAUUAUUCCAGUUUUUAAAGAGGUAAAGUGUGGAACGUGCUAUAGAGAAGAUAGAAAAGACUAUUAAAAAACAGUAGUGCCAUGGAAGGCUGGAGAAUGUGGACUGCAAAGGGGGCUGCAUAAGCCUUUGCAUGUUGCAGUUCUGUGGCAUGAUGUAGCUAGAAGAGAGGGAUACAAAGUCAGAGGAGUUGUUCAUUGCCUCUGUCGGGAAUUUUAUCACAGUGGCUUCUCACUGUAAUCCCAAUAAUGCCUUUGAAUAGAAUGUCUGUAGGCUACUGAAGGCUACCUAAGGCAUGCUGAGACUUAACAUCCUUCCUUUUCUUGCAUAAUUAGAGAGUUUUCUGUAGUCACUUGCAAUGUUCAUGACAUAUUCACAUUUCACUGUCAUGGUCUGGAAAACAUCUCUAAAUACAAAUUUGUUUUUACUUCUCUUUUUAUCCUCCCCCUUGAGACAGUUCCUUAUGUGUGUACAGGUGUGCCUGCAGCUCCUUAAUGUGUGAUUCCCAGACCGCAGCAUCUUAAGAUUUGGGAUUGCAGGUAUGUUCUACCAUAUACAGAUUAAUUUCUUCUCCCAGUUCCUGGGCUGGGAAUUAAAUCUCGGUCUUUACACAUGAUAAGCCUGUGCUCUAUCACAGGACUGCAAUUCCAGCUAGAAAGUAACUUCUGAGCCCCUAAAGAUACUCUCUUUGUGUGUACAUUUGCCGCAACAUUUUUAUAGUAGCUCAAAGUUAGUUGUUUCUGCAAGAAAUCAUACUUGAAUGUAACUUGGAAUACAUUACUUUGGAUAUAGCUUGUGUUAACUCUGCAAAUGUCAAACACAUAAAUGAUAUAACUGAAGAUGGCUUCCUAUGUUUGUUGGUCUUGACAUAACUCUUAGGAUGUUGAUUGAUGUAAACGUGUUUAUUAUAUGCAUGGGGAGGCAACUACUCACUUCUACAUCUAAAUUCUAUAGAUUAGUUCUCAUUUUAAAGUGAAUUCAGUCUUUGAGGUGAGGCUGGUAGUUAAAUAAAGUAAAAACUGAUGAGUUGAGUGAAUAAAACAUUGAACUUAAGCAUCUCUGUCCUUGGUAAAUUUAGUGAGAAUUUUCAGCUUAAAACUCUGGAAAACUGAGUGCACUUGGAAUUGGGCCAUUGCUCUGUUUUGUGCUUCUAGUUUUUGUAAAUUGGAGCACAUAUUGAAUUUCAGAGUUCCCAAGCCAAAAAUAUAUUAAAAACUACAUAUGCUCUUUCCUAGUGGAAAAACAGAGUGAUCUCCAGUGGAGAGGGACUCCCUCUUCCGAGUUUUUCUGCAAAACGAGUUAUUUAUAUAUGAGCUCAGAACCACUGCCAAAAAGAAUCAGCCAGGAAGCAUUCAUGAUGCCAGCAGGAGAAGGUGUUUUAAAGCCCAUUAUGUCUUCGGUUCUCUCAAGAACUCAAGCCUGGAUCAAGUGACAUUUCUGCUGCCCAGUUGUCUGGGAAAACAAAGCAGCAAGUAUUAACAAGUUACAUUUUUAUAAGUUUAUAAUGUUCAUUGGUAGACUAUGUAAAUAUGUUAUGUGUAACAAUGAAAAUGGAUUUGUCUGUAUCCUCAUUCUUAAUUUUUGAUUUUCUUCUGUUUGUAGAUGUGUGAGGGUAUUCUUGGCUGUACAUUUGUCUAUCAUGUUAAAAACGAUGAAUAAAAUGAUAAAUAGG